CUACGGAGGGUGCGAGCGUUAAUCGGAAUUACUGGGCGUAAAGCGCGCGUAGGCGGUUAAAUAAGUCUGAUGUGAAAGCCCUGGGCUCAACCUGGGAAUUGCAUUCGAUACUGCUUGGCUAGAGUAUGGUAGAGGGUAGUGGAAUUCCUGGUGUAGCGGUGAAAUGCGUAGAUAUCAGGAGGAACAUCAGUGGCGAAGGCGGCUCACUGGACCAAAACUGACGCUGAGGUACGAAAGCGUGGGGAGCAAACGGGAUUAGAAACCCCAGUAGUCC
rnacentral:rRNA from 1 species